rnacentral:rRNA from 1 species
CACGUAGGCACCAAGCGUUGUCCGGAUUUAUUUGGCGUAAAGAGCUCGUAGGCGGUUCAGUAAGUCGGGUGUGAAAACUCUGGGCUUAACCCGGAGAGGCCACCCGAUACUGCUGUGACUUGAGUUCGGUAGGGGAGUGGGGAAUUUCUAGUGUAGCGGUGAAAUGCGCAGAUAUUAGAAGGAACACCGGUGGCGAAGGCGCCACUCUGGGCCGAAACUGACGCUGAGGAGCGAAAGCGUGGGUGGCAAACAGG